AGGAUAAACGCUGGCGGCGUGCCUAACACAUGCAAGUCGAACGUCUCUUCUUUCGGGAAGAGGAGUGGCGGACGGGUGAGGAACACGUGGGAACCUGCCCUUUAGUGAGGAAUACCGGCGAGAAAUCGCCGACAAGACCGCAUAGCCCUCUUUGAUGAGAGUCAAAGAAGGAAAGCUUCGCAAGAGGCGCUAGAGGAGGGGCCUGCGUCCGAUUAGCUAGUUGGUGGGGUAAGAGCCUACCAAGGCGUCGAUCGGUAGCUGGUCUGAGAGGACGAUCAGCCACACUGGGAUUGAGAACGGCCCAGACUCCUACGGGGGCAGCAGUGAGGAAUUUUCGGCAAUGGGGGAAACCCUGACCGAGCAACGCCGCGUGCAGGAAGACGGCCUUCGGUUGUAACUGCUUUUCUUGGGUACGAGAACGGACGGUACCAGAGGAAUCAGCCCCGGCUCACUACGUGCCAGCAGCCGC
rnacentral:rRNA from 1 species